rnacentral:tRNA from 1 species
AGACAAUGCCUACUGAGUAAAAAGCUUCUAACUUUUAAACUAAGCGGUGAAAUACCGUUUCAUGUCUA